GGAUAAUCUAGCGUGUUUGCUCCUUGCAGAGCACACAGACCACUGCAUGGCCUUUUUAAUAUUGACAGGAUCAUCACAUUGUGACUCCAGCUGCAGAGAUAUGGACACCGAUAUGCUGCACUUGGAAUGUUCAACUACACCUGCAUAGUUACUGCGAUGUGGGACAAUUGAGAAGACCUGCCAAAGAAAGGACCAGGCCAGCCACUGUUUUGUUGUUAAAUCAUAGGUCUUUGUGAAUUUCAACUUGCUUUGG